rnacentral:rRNA from 1 species
AUUGAACGCUGGCGGCAGGCCUAACACAUGCAAGUCGAACGAGUGGCGGACGGGUGAGUAAUGUCUGGGAAACUGCCUGAUGGAGGGGGAUAACUACUGGAAAAGGUAGCUAAUACCGCAUACCAUCAGAUGUGCCCAGAUGGGAUUAGCUUGUUGGUGGGGUAACGGCUAACAAAGGCGACGAACCCUAGCUGGGCUGAGAGGAUGACCAGCCACACUGGAACUGUGACACGUUCCAGACUCCUACGUGAGGCAGCAGUGGGGAAUAUUGCACAAGGGGCGCAAUCCGUAUGCAGCCAUGCCGCGUGUAUGAAGAAGGCCUUCGGGUUGUAAAGUACUUUCAGCGGGGAGGCGUUACCCGCAGAAGAAGCACCGGCUAACUCCGUGCCAGCAGCCGCGGUAAUUC